UACGUAGGUGGCAAGCGUUGUCCGGAUUUACUGGGCGUAAAGAGCGCGCAGGCGGUCGUGCAAGUCGCGUGUGAAAGCCCCCGGCUCAACUGGGGAGGGUCACGCGAUACUGUUCGACUCGAAGGCAGGAGAGGGAAGCGGAAUUCCCGGUGUAGUGGUGAAAUGCGCAGAUAUCAGGAGGAACACCGGUGGCGAAGGCGGAUCUCUGGGCCAUUACUGACGCUGAGGAGCGAAAGCGUGGGGAGCGAACAGG
rnacentral:rRNA from 1 species